rnacentral:lncRNA from 1 species
ACCGGGUGGAGGGUGGGAGUAGGUGGACAUGGGUUAGAAAGGUCGUGGGCCAGGCGGCCUCCUAGGCAGCUUCCUGAUGUUGGCCUUUUCAUAGAUGGAAGCCAACCGUCGGGAGCACACACACCACAUUACAAGGAUCCCAGCCAGGCCCAGGAGGGGAAGCAAGGACACCCUAGAGGCAGAGAGAACUGGCAGGAUUUUUCAUGGGCCGAUCUGCUGAAUUCAGCCUAGGAGCUGAGACCAACAUCUGAGUCUCUUCAGCACACAAGUUUGAAAGAAGUCCUAGCAACUUCAAGCUCAGAACUACGGGUGGCAGCAGCUCCCUCUUGACGUCGAAGCCUCCCAUUCCAGAGAGAGUCAAGGCCUGGAUCAAACAAAGCCCACAAGCACCGAUGACUGAGCUGCUGACUACCCCCAGCAUCUCCAACUCAACCUCCUCUUUCUGCCUCUACCCAAAUUUUAAAACUUUCAAACAUGGGUUUAAAAAUGGUAAUGAGUAAAGUUGCAUCCAAGUGUAUCAAAUAAAACUAAAUAUCCAUAAAUGCUGUAAUAAUUCCUGCUUUGAUGCUGAACUAAAGAAUUUUCUGCCAGGCGUGGUGGCUAACACCUGUAAUCCCAGCACUUUGGGAGGCCAAGGCAGGUGGAUCACGAGGUCAGGAGUUCAAGACCUGCCUGGCC